rnacentral:rRNA from 1 species
UCAGACGAUGCGUCAUGCAUAUCAAUAAGCGGAGGAAAAGAAACUAACAAGGAUUCCCCUAGUAACGGCGAGUGAAGCGGGAAGAGCUCAAAUUUGAAAUCUUAAAGGGUUUCCCUUUACGAAUUGUAGUUUAAAGAAGUGUUUUCUGUUGAGGUUUUGGUAAAAGUUCUUUGGAAUAGGACAUCAUAGAGGGUGAGAAUCCCGUAUUUGACCUUUACUUUCAACUUUGUGAUACACUUUCAAAGAGUCGGAUUGUUUGGGAAUGCAGUCCAAAAUGGGUGGUAAAUUUCAUCUAAAGCUAAAUAUUGGCGAGAGACCGAUAGCGAACAAGUACCGUGAGGGAGAGAUGAAAAGAACUUUGAAAAGAGAGUUAAACAGUACGUGAAAUUGUCAAAAGGGAAGCGUUUGACACCAGUGUUGUUUUUCUGAAAAUCAAUUAAAGAACUGUUUAUGCUAAGCUGUUUAGACUUUAUCAGCUAACUGUUUAGUUUUGAGCUUUUCUUUAAUGCACUUUUCAGUUAACAAGUCAACAUCAAUUUCUUUUGCUGUAAAAAAGCUUGAGGAAGGUGGCUUGAGAUUCGUCUUAAGUGUUUAUAGCCUCUUGCCUAUGCAGUCGGAGAGAUUGAGGUCUGCAGCGUAGAUCCUUCGGGGCUAAAUGCAUUUGUGCUAAGUUAUAGCAUUUUAUAGACAACUUGUUGACUAUGAUUUGUCUUGUAGCUUACUCGCUUAUGUUAUUUUACCUACGCUUAGGAUGUUGACACACGGCGUGCUCG